UAUGCUUAGCCUUAAACCCAGAUGCAUCCCUACUCUCGCAUCCGCCAGGGUACUACAAGCACAGCUUAAAACCCAAAGGACUUGGCGGUGCCUCAGACCCACCUAGAGGAGCCUGUUCUAGAACCGAUAACCCCCGUUAAACCUCACCACUUCUUGUUUUACCCGCCUAUAUACCGCCGUCGUCAGCUUACCCUGUGAAGGCUCAACAGCAAGCAAAAGGGGCUCACCCAAAAACGUCAGGUCGAGGUGUAGCGCACGAAGUGGGAAGAAAUGGGCUACAUUAUCUGCAACAACAGAAUAUUUACGGACGGCAUUCUGAAAUUAAUGCCCAAAGGUGGAUUUAGUAGUAAAAAACAAAUAGAGAGUCUUUUUGAAUUAGGCUCUGAGGCGC
rnacentral:rRNA from 1 species